rnacentral:tRNA from 1 species
GUCCUCGUAGUUCAACGGAUAGAACGGAUCUCUCCUAAAGAUCAAAUGUCAGUUCGAUUCUGGCCGGGGACGCCA